rnacentral:tRNA from 1 species
UCCCUGGUGGCUCGGACGGUAAAGCGUCUGCCUACAAUGCAGGAGACCCGGGUUCGAUCCCUGGGUGGGGAA